GUGGGGAAUAUUGGACAAUGGGCGCAAGCCUGAUCCAGCCAUGCCGCGUGAGUGAUGAAGGCCUUAGGGUUGUAAAGCUCUUUUGUCCGGGAAGAUAAUGACUGUACCGGAAGAAUAAGCCCCGGCUAACUUCGUGCCAGCAGCCGCGGUAAUACGAAGGGGGCUAGCGUUGCUCGGAAUCACUGGGCGUAAAGGGCGCGUAGGCGGACUCUUAAGUCGGGGGUGAAAGCCCAGGGCUCAACCCUGGAAUAGCCUUCGAUACUGAGAGUCUUGAGUUCGGAAGAGGUUGGUGGAAUUGCGAGUGUAGAGGUGAAAUUCGUAGAUAUUCGCAAGAACACCAGUGGCGAAGGCGGCCAACUGGUCCGAUACUGACGCUGAGGCGCGAAAGCGUGGGGAGCAAACAGGAUUAGAUACCCGAGUAGUCC
rnacentral:rRNA from 1 species